rnacentral:lncRNA from 1 species
CAGACCGAAGUGAGAUUUUGCAAUUAGGUGCGAGUUGCUGUUCCAUCAUUUUAAUAUGUCCGUCUAAUCGGGUGCAUUACGUUUCAAUGACCUUUCCAUCUGACUUUUCGGUAGCCAUCACUCUGGGAGGUUUGUCUGCCAUUAAGAAAAUGAUUCUCACAGUUUUAUCUGACAGGCAUGAACGUGAGUAUGUGUGACCUGCCUGCUGUGAACAGCAGUGAUCUAUUUGUCACAGGGAAUCCUGGGAGGGGCCAAAUGGAAGCACACUUAAUUAAACAGCAGAGUACUGAUGGCCUGUUUGUAUUGAUCUCUGUGUGAGUGGAAGAGGCGAUGCACAUACCAAUCUAUUGAGUGCUCAGUCUUUAAGCCCAACUGUGGAUUGUCAUGUGUUGAAAAGCCUUUACAUAAAAACCAAUGAAGACAACAAUUAAGCACAAAAUGGCGCAUGCAUUCAUAAAAACUUGUGACUUGUGGAACAUACAGAAAACAGAAAAAACACGUUACAUCACACUCAUUGUGUGACCAUGUGGAAUGAUUAAAUUGAUCAUCAGUUCAGGGUUGUGCCACUGUGUACUGCAGUGCAUGUGGCCAGGGUAUUGACCAGUAAUGAGGGACCUCGAGAGAGGGUGAUCAAGGGCCGCACGGCUCAGAUGCGCGUGUGGCUGUCCAAGAAUGCGGUGGUGUGUGUGUGUGUUGGUGCUUCUGCAUGUGUGCAUGGCCUUCGAGCUGCAGGACACCAUCCAUGCCCUCAUCGAGGAGAACAUCCACCUUCACGACCAACUGGAGAACCUGACCAAGGCCCUCAGGGAGUUACGACAACUGCUGCUGCACAAUGCUGGAGAACAGACUAAUGUUAACCAAGAAGAGCUUCAGCAUCUCUGGGAGGAAUGGUCUCUACAUGGUAAGGACACAUAUUUAUUUCAACCCCACUCCACUCCACACACUAACACUCACACCCUUUAAUAACACAUCUCAUUAUGUUGUUAUUUAGCUGUUUUUGUAUGGCACAUUAUCAUGGAAAGUGUAGGGCAAAGGAUCACAUUGAUUGAUGAUUUCACAUUGCCUUUGCCCAUAUAAGGCCUGCUGGCUAUUGACAGCCAUGUCAGCUGGUACUGGUGUAUUAUUUGUUAUCUCUACCAGCUCUACCACAAUACAGGAGACCAUUUAACACACUUAGAAGUUGAAUUUCAGGAGGUACUCAAACACCAGUUUUUCAACAAGUAGAGCCAGAUAGGAUGGCCAUCAGCUCAAUGAGUCGGUGACAUAUCAGGCCAUAUUUAGGUGCUACAGAAGGCCUACCAGUUUGAAAGAGAGAAAUACAACCAGUUACUACUUUUUUUUAACAAAGUAC